CCCUUAGAUGUUCUGGGCCGCACGCGCGCUACACUGACGAAUGCAACGAGCUUAUAACCUUGGCCGAAAGGUCUGGGUAAUCUCCAAAUUUCGUCGUGAUGGGGAUAGAUUAUUGCAAUUAUUAAUCUUCAACGAGGAAUGCCUAGUAAGCGCAAGUCAUCAGCUUGCGUUGAUUACGUCCCUGCCCUUUGUACACACCGCCCGUCGCUCCUGCCGAUUGAAUGGUCCGGUGAAGCGUUCGGACCGUGGCCUUUGGACGGUUCGCCGUCUGUUGGCUGCGGGAAGUUCGUUAAACCUUAUCAUUUAGAGGAAGGAGAAGUCGUANCA
rnacentral:rRNA from 1 species